rnacentral:rRNA from 1 species
AGUGGGGAAUAUUGGGCAAUGGGGGAAACCCUGACCCAGCAACGCCGCGUGAAGGAAGAAGGCUUUCGGGUUGUAAACUUCUUUUACCAGGGACGAAAAAGUGACGGUACCUGGAGAAAAAGCCACGGCUAACUACGUGCCAGCAGCCGCGGUAAUACGUAGGUGGCAAGCGUUGUCCGGAUUUACUGGGUGUAAAGGGCGUGUAGGCGGAGAUGCAAGUCAGAUGUGAAAUCCCCGGGCUUAACCCGGGAACUGCAUUUGAAACUGUAUCCCUUGAGUAUCGGAGAGGCAGGCGGAAUUCCUAGUGUAGCGGUGAAAUGCGUAGAUAUUAGGAGGAAC